rnacentral:rRNA from 1 species
ACGGGAGGCAGCAGUGGGGAAUAUUGCACAAUGGGGGAAACCCUGAUGCAGCGACGCCGCGUGAAGGAAGAAGUAUCUCGGUAUGUAAACUUCUAUCAGCAGGGAAGAUAAUGACGGUACCUGACUAAGAAGCCCCGGCUAACUACGUGCCAGCAGCCGUGGUAAUACGUAGGGGGCAAGCGUUAUCCGGAUUUACUGGGUGUAAGGGGAGCGUAGACGGAGUGGCAAGUCUGGAGUGAAAGGCAAGGGCUCAACCGUUGAACUGCAUUGGAAACUGUCAAUCUUGAGUGCCGGAGAGGUAAGCGGAAUUCCUAGUGUAGCGGUGAAAUGCGUAGAUAUUAGGAGGAACACCAGUGGCGAAGGCGGCUUACUGGACGGUAACUGACGUUGAGGCUCGAAAGCGUGGGGAGCAAACAGGAUUAGAUACCCUGGUA